rnacentral:rRNA from 1 species
GGAGGUAGUGACAAUAAAUCACAAUGCGGGACUGUUAGUCUUGCAAUUGGAUUGAGAACAACGUACAACUCUUAUCGAUAAGCCAUUGGAGGGCAAGUCUGGUGCCAGCAGCCGCGGUAAUUCCAGCUCCAAUAGCGUAUAUUAACGUUGUUGCAGUUAAAAAGCUCGUAGUUGAAGUGAGGGAGUGUGUGGGUAUGAGAGCUAGUCUCAAGUACUCACAACCUCCCCCCUCCAAUCGGUGUAGUGGGGUAUUCAGUUAUUCUACUACUCCUUUGGUCGUUUACUGUGAGAAAAUUAGAGUGUUCAAAGCGGGCGUUUGUUUGAAUAGAUUAGCAUGGAAUAAUGAUUGAAGGCUUUCGUGUUCGAAUUGAUUGGUCUGUUCAUGGAAGCAAGGBUAAAAGGAACAGUUGGGGGUAUUCAUAUUCACUAGUUAGAGGUGAAAUUCUCGGAUUUAUGGAAGAUGAACAAGUGCGAAAGCA